AGCGAACGCUGGCGGCAGGCCUAACACAUGCAAGUCGAACGAACUCUUCGGAGUUAGUGGCGGACGGGUGGGUAACACGUGGGAACGUGCCUUUUGGUUCGGAAUAACUCAGGGAAACUUGCGCUAAUACCGAAUGUGCCCUUCGGGGGAAAGAUUUAUCGCCAUUAGAGCGGCCCGCGUCUGAUUAGCUAGUUGGUGAGGUAACGGCUCACCAAGGCGACGAUCAGUAGCUGGUCUGAGAGGAUGACCAGCCACACUGGGACUGAGACACGGCCCAGACUCCUACGGGAGGCAGCAGUGGGGAAUCUUGCGCAAUGGGCGAAAGCCUGACGCAGCCAUGCCGCGUGAAUGAUGAAGGUCUUAGGAUUGUAAAAUUCUUUCACCGGGGACGAUAAUGACGGUACCCGGAGAAGAAGCCCCGGCUAACUUCGUG
rnacentral:rRNA from 1 species